rnacentral:rRNA from 1 species
UACGUAGGCAGCGAGCGUUGUUCGGAGUUACUGGGCGUAAAGAGUGCGUAGGCGGUUUUCUAAGUUUGGUGUGAAAUCUCCCGGCUCAACUGGGAGGGUGCGCCGAAGACUGGAAGGCUUGAGUAUGGGAGAGGUAAGCGGAAUUCCUGGUGUAGCGGUGAAAUGCGUAGAUAUCAGGAGGAAUACCGAUGGCGAAGGCAGGUCUCUGGGCUGACACUGACGCUCAUGCACGAAAGCGUGGGGAGCAAACAGG